GAGAUAACUAUGGUUAAGGAACUCGGCAAAAUGCCCCCGUAACUUCGGGAGAAGGGGGGCCCUGUUUGGUGACGACAUUUACUGUCUGAGCUGGGUGGGGCCGCAGAGACCAGUGAGAAGCGACUGUUUACUAAAAACACAGGUCCGUGCGAAGUCGUAAGACGAUGUAUACGGACUGACGCCUGCCCGGUGCUGGAAGGUUAAGAGGACCGGUUAGUUCCUUCGGGAGCGAAGCUGAGAAUUUAAGCCCCAGUAAACGGCGGUGGUAACUAUAACCAUCCUAAGGUAGCGAAAUUCCUUGUCGGGUAAGUUCCGACCUGCACGAAUGGCGUAACGACUUCUCAGCUGUCUCAACCGUAGACUCGGCGAAAUUGCAUUACGAGUAAAGAUGCUCGUUACGCGCGGCAGGACGAAAAGACCCCGGGACCUUCACUACAGCUUGGUAUUGGUGUUCGGUUCGGUUUGUGUAGGAUAGGUGGGAGACUGUGAAACGGUGACGCCAGUUAUCGUGGAGUCGUUGUUGAAAUACCACUCUGAUCGAAUUGGACCUCUAACCUCGGACCAUGAUCUGGUUCAGGGACAGUGCCUGGUGGGUAGUUUAACUGGGGCGGUUGCCUCCCAAAAUGUAACGGAGGCGCCCAAAGGUUCCCUCAGCCUGGUUGGCAAUCAGGUGUCGAGUGCAAGUGCACAAGGGAGCUUGACUGUGAGACUGACAGGUCGAGCAGGGACGAAAGUCGGGACUAGUGAUCCGGCACCGGCAAGUGGAAGCGGUGUCGCUCAACGGAUAAAAGGUACCCCGGGGAUAACAGGCUGAUCUUCCCCAAGAGUCCAUAUCGACGGGAUGGUUUGGCACCUCGAUGUCGGCUCGUCGCAUCCUGGGGCUGGAGUAGGUCCCAAGGGUUGGGCUGUUCGCCCAUUAAAGCGGCACGCGAGCUGGGUUUAGAACGUCGUGAGACAGUUCGGUCUCUAUCCGCCGCGCGCGUUAGAAACUUGAGGAAGGCUGUCCCUAGUACGAGAGGACCGGGACGGACGAACCUCUGGUGUGCCAGUUGUUCCGCCAGGAGCACCGCUGGUUAGCUACGUUCGGAAGGGAUAACCGCUGAAAGCAUCUAAGCGGGAAGCCUGUUCCAAGAUGAGGUUUCUCACCCCCUCGAGGGGGUAAGGCCCCCGGCAGACCACCGGGUUGAUAGGCCAGAACUGGAAGUGCAGUAAUGCAUGCAGGUGACUGGUACUAAUAGGCCGAGGACUUACCACA
rnacentral:rRNA from 1 species